UCUAGACACCUGGUGACCCAUCUGGAUUAAUCUAGACACCUGGUGACUCAUCUGGACCCAUCUAGACACCUGGUGACUCAUCUGGAUUCAUCUAGACACCUGGUGACCCAUCUGGAUUAAUCUAGACACCAUCUGGAUUAAUCUAGACACCUGGUGACUCAUCUAGACACCUGGUGACUCAUCUGGACAGAUCUAGACACCUGGUGACUCAUCUGGAUUAAUCUAGACAUCUGGUGACCCAUCUGGAUUAAUCUAGACACCUGGUGACCUAUCUGGAUUCAUCUAGACACCUGGUGACCCAUCUGGACACAUCUAGACACCUGGUGGCCUAUCUGGACACAUCUAGACACCUGGUGACCCAUCUGGACACAUCUAGACACCUGGUGACCUAUCUGGACACAUCUAGACACCUGGUGACCUAUCUGGACACAUCUAGACACCUGGUGACCCAUCUGGACACAUCUAGACACCUGGUGACCCAUCUGGACACGUCUAGACACCUGGUGACCCAUCUGGACACGUCUAGACACCUGGUGACCCAUCUGGACACGUCUAGACACCUGGUGACCCAUCUGGAUGAAUCUAGACACCUGGUGACCCAUCUGGAUGAAUCUAGACACCUGGUUACCCAUCUGGAUUAAUCUAGACACCUGGUGACACCUGGACACUCCUAGACAAGCUGAUCCUAGAUCUGUGCCUAAGAGCAACUUCUACCCCAAGCUACUAAAUCACUUGUGCUUCCAUCCAUCCACUCAUACAGGCCCAAAUUGACCUUUUUCCCUAUAUAGUGCACUACUUUUGACAUGGGACCAUAAGGCUCUGGUCAGAAGUAGUGUCCUAUAAAGGGAAUACUAGGUUGAUCGUAUUCUCAUGUCUGUCUGUCUGUAACCUAGUUAUCUCAGUGGUCAACCCUUACAUAGAGUCAUAGCUAUGUAGUGAGACUAAGCAGGAUUUUGUUCCUGACUACCACCAACACACUUUGAAUAUAGCUAAUCAAGUGGAUUAGUCAAAAUCAGGUGGGUUUAGUGCAGGGCUGGAAUUAAAGCCUGCACAGCUUGUAAUGAUGGUCUUCUAGAGUUGGUGGCCACUGGUUUAAAUGGGUAAUCUGGGACUGAUGCACUUCUAGGGUUGGUGGCUACUAGUUUAAAGGGGCAAUCUGGGACUGAUGCACUUCUAGGGUUGGUGGCUACUAGUUUAAAGGGGCAAUCUGGGACUGAUGCUCUUCUAGGGUUGGUGGCCACUGGUUUAAAGGGGUAAUCUGGGACUGAUGCACUUCUAGGGUUGGUGGCCACUGGUUUAAAUGGGUAAUCUGGGACUGAUGGUCUUCUAGGGUUGGUGGCUACUAGUUUAAAGGGGCAAUCUGGGACUGAUGCACUUCUAGGGUUGGUGGCCACUGGUUUAAAGGGGCAAUCUGUAGUUCCGCGACAUCACACCGCUUGAGUUCUCUCUCCUCCAAUCACACACAGUAGUGUAGUGACGUCAGCGCGGCAACCUCACGGCUAACCAAUCAGUAAGAGUGUCGUUGUGCUGUGGUUAGGACCAUUGGAACAGUAGCAUGUUAUCCAUUGUUACUGUCGUUGUAUAUCUAUCAUACCUGUAUAACUAACAAUCUGAACACUCCAAAUGAACACUUGAUGAAGGAAUGUGUAUAACAAAAAUAAAUUAAAUAAUAUGAAUCUGAG
ensembl:lncRNA